rnacentral:ribozyme from 1 species
GGCGUUGUACCAAUUCCCACCCAGCCUGCCGUUGCCAAUUGCAAACUUUUCAGGGUCUGAAUUUGGACUUGGAUUUCGAAUAGCCAGAAACCAGCAACUUUCUGGAGAGCUUGCUCCGGUCGG